CAGCAUGCGCGUGCACUGAGACACCGAGCGCCUCUGAAAAAGAAACGGGGCCAAGAGAGAGAGAGAGAGAGAGAGAAAAGAAAGAGAAAAGCGGGCGCCCGGGAGCGCGAGGAGUAUUCACGUGUUGUCUCUGCUAGCGCGAGCUCUCCGUGUCCGUGUCCACGUUCGCGCAGUUCCGGUACUGGACACCGGGAGUUUCACACACUGAGCGGUCCAGAGGCGGUCAUGUCGGUACACAGCGCCGGUACCGGAGACAGAAAGUAUUAGCGGUGGAGGCAGGUAUCAGGUGUUGAUGUGCAUGUGAUGGAGGACACAUGUUCACAUAAACUCAGCUCAACAAAGCUCCUGAAGCUCCUCAUCAUCAUCCUGCCCUGUGUGUGUGGCCUCAUCUGCCUCCUCACACUGCUGCUUGCCUUUACAGGAAUAAUCGGGAAUGGGCUGCUUGACUCCAGUGACUCCGCCCCUCUCUCCGCCACGGACAUUUCCAUGACGACCCUCAUCCCCCUU